rnacentral:rRNA from 1 species
AUUCAUGGCUCAGAUUGAACGCUGGCGGCAGGCCUAACACAUGCAAGUCGAGCGGUAGCACAGGGAGCUUGCUCUUGGGUGACGAGCGGCGGACGGGUGAGUAAUGUCUGGGAAACUGCCUGAUGGAGGGGGAUAACUACUGGAAACGGUAGCUAAUACCGCAUAACGUCGCAAGACCAAAGAGGGGGACCUUCGGGCCUCUUGCCAUCAGAUGUGCCCAGAUGGGAUUAGCUAGUAGGUGGGGUAACGGCUCACCUAGGCGACGAUCCCUAGCUGGUCUGAGAGGAUGACCAGCCACACUGGAACUGAGACACGGUCCAGACUCCUACGGGAGGCAGCAGUGGGGAAUAUUGCACAAUGGGCGCAAGCCUGAUGCAGCCAUGCCGCGUGUAUGAAGAAGGCCUUCGGGUUGUAAAGUACUUUCAGCGGGGAGGAAGGCGAUAAGGUUAAUAACCUUGUCGAUUGACGUUACCCGCAGAAGAAGCACCGGCUAACUCCGUGCCAGCAGCCGCGGUAAUACGGAGGGUGCAAGCGUUAAUCGGAAUUACUGGGCGUAAAGCGCACGCAGGCGGUCUGUCAAGUCGGAUGUGAAAUCCCCGGGCUCAACCUGGGAACUGCAUUCGAAACUGGCAGGCUAGAGUCUUGUAGAGGGGGGUAGAAUUCCAGGUGUAGCGGUGAAAUGCGUAGAGAUCUGGAGGAAUACCGGUGGCGAAGGCGGCCCCCUGGACAAAGACUGACGCUCAGGUGCGAAAGCGUGGGGAGCAAACAGGAUUAGAUACCCUGGUAGUCCACGCCGUAAACGAUGUCGACUUGGAGGUUGUGCCCUUGAGGCGUGGCUUCCGGAGCUAACGCGUUAAGUCGACCGCCUGGGGAGUACGGCCGCAAGGUUAAAACUCAAAUGAAUUGACGGGGGCCCGCACAAGCGGUGGAGCAUGUGGUUUAAUUCGAUGCAACGCGAAGAACCUUACCUACUCUUGACAUCCAGAGAACUUUCCAGAGAUGGAUUGGUGCCUUCGGGAACUCUGAGACAGGUGCUGCAUGGCUGUCGUCAGCUCGUGUUGUGAAAUGUUGGGUUAAGUCCCGCAACGAGCGCAACCCUUAUCCUUUGUUGCCAGCGGUUCGGCCGGGAACUCAAAGGAGACUGCCAGUGAUAAACUGGAGGAAGGUGGGGAUGACGUCAAGUCAUCAUGGCCCUUACGAGUAGGGCUACACACGUGCUACAAUGGCGCAUACAAAGAGAAGCGACCUCGCGAGAGCAAGCGGACCUCAUAAAGUGCGUCGUAGUCCGGAUUGGAGUCUGCAACUCGACUCCAUGAAGUCGGAAUCGCUAGUAAUCGUAGAUCAGAAUGCUACGGUGAAUACGUUCCCGGGCCUUGUACACACCGCCCGUCACACCAUGGGAGUGGGUUGCAAAAGAAGUAGGUAGCUUAACCUUCGGGAGGGCGCUUACCACUUUGUGAUUCAUGACUGGGGUGAAGUCGUAACAAGGUAACCGUAAAGGG